UUAAGCAUAUCAAUAAGCGGAGGAAAAGAAACCAACAGGGAUUGCCCUAGUAACGGCGAGUGAAGCGGCAACAGCUCAAAUUUGAAAUCUGGCUCUUUUAGAGUCCGAGUUGUAAUUUGCAGAGGGCGCUUUGGCUUUGGCAGCGGUCCAAGUUCCUUGGAACAGGACGUCACAGAGGGUGAGAAUCCCGUACGUGGUCGCUAGCUAUUGCCGUGUAAAGCCCCUUCGACGAGUCGAGUUGUUUGGGAAUGCAGCUCUAAAUGGGAGGUAAAUUUCUUCUAAAGCUAAAUACUGGCCAGAGACCGAUAGCGCACAAGUAGAGUGAUCGAAAGAUGAAAAGCACUUUGGAAAGAGAGUCAAACAGCACGUGAAAUUGUUGAAAGGGAAGCGCUUGCAGCCAGACUUGCUUGCAGUUGCUCAUCCGGGCUCUUUUGCCCGGUGCAUUCUUCUGCAGGCAGGCCAGCAUCAGUUUGGGCGGUGGGAUAAAGGUCUCUGUCACGUACCUCUCUUCGGGGAGGCCUUAUAGGGGAGACGACAUACCACCAGCCUGGACUGAGGUCCGCGCAUUUAUGCUAGGAUGCUGGCGUAAUGGCUGUAAGCGGCCCGUCUUGAAACACGGACCAAGGAGUCUAACAUCUAUGCGAGUGUUUGGGUGUCAAGCCCGAACGCGUAAUGAAAGUGAACGGAGGUGGGAACCCGCAAGGGUGCACCAUCGACCGAUCCUGAUGUCUUCGGAAGGAUUUGAGUAAGAGCAUGGCUGUUGGGACCCGAAAGAUGGUGAACUAUGCUUGAAUAGGGUGAAGCCAGAGGAAACUCUGGUGGAGGCUCGCAGCGGUUCUGACGUGCAAAUCGAUCGUCAAAUUUGGGCAUAGGGGCGAAAGACUAAUCGAACUUUCUAGUAGCUGGGUUCCUGCCGAAGU
rnacentral:rRNA from 1 species